GACGAACGCUUGCGGCGUGCUUAACACAUGCAAGUCGAACGGAAAGGCCCUGCUUUUGUGGGGUGCUCGAGUGGCGAACGGGUGAGUAACACGUGAGUAACCUGCCCUUGACUUUGGGAUAACUUCAGGAAACUGGGGCUAAUACCGGAUAGGAGCUCCUGCUGCAUGGUGGGGGUUGGAAAGUUUCGGCGGUUGGGGAUGGACUCGCGGCUUAUCAGCUUGUUGGUGGGGUAGUGGCUUACCAAGGCUUUGACGGGUAGCCGGCCUGAGAGGGUGACCGGCCACAUUGGGACUGAGAUACGGCCCAGACUCCAACGGGAGGCAGCAGUGGGGAAUAUUGCACAAUGGGCGGAAGCCUGAUGCAGCAACGCCGCGUGCGGGAUGACGGCCUUCGGGUUGUAAACCGCUUUCGCCUGUGACGAAGCGUGAGUGACGGUAAUGGGUAAAGAAGCACCGGCUAACUACGUGCCAGCAGCCGCGGUGAUACGUAGGGUGCGAGCGUUGUCCGGAUUUAUUGGGCGUAAAGGGCUCGUAGGUGGUUGAUCGCGUCGGAAGUGUAAUCUUGGGGCUUAACCCUGAGCGUGCUUUCGAUACGGGUUGACUUGAGGAAGGUAGGGGAGAAUGGAAUUCCAGGUGGAGCGGUGGAAUGCGCAGAUAUCAGGAGGAACACCAGUGGCGAAGGCGGUUCUCUGGGCCUUUCCUGACGCUGAGGAGCGAAAGCGUGGGGAGCGAACAGGCUUAGAUACCCUGGUAGUCCACGCUGUAAACGGUGGGUACUAGGUGUGGGGUCCAUUCCACGGGUUCCGUGCCGUAGCUAACGCUUUAAGUACCCCGCCUGGGGAGUACGGCCGCAAGGCUAAAACUCAAAGGAAUUGACGGGGCCCCGCACAAGCGGCGGAGCAUGCGGAUUAAUUCGAUGCAACGCGUAGAACCUUACCUGGGUUUGACAUGGAUCGGGAGUGCUCAGAGAUGGGUGUGCCUCUUUUGGGGUCGGUUCACAGGUGGUGCAUGGCUGUCGUCAGCUCGUGUCGUGAGAUGUUGGGUUAAGUCCCGCAACGAGCGCAACCCUUGUUCACUGUUGCCAGCACGUUAUGGUGGGGACUCAGUGGAGACCGCCGGGGUCAACUCGGAGGAAGGUGGGGAUGACGUCAAGUCAUCAUGCCCCUUAUGUCCAGGGCUUCACGCAUGCUACAAUGGCUGGUACAGAGAGUGGCGAGCCUGUGAGGGUGAGCGAAUCUCGGAAAGCCGGUCUCAGUUCGGAUUGGGGUCUGCAACUCGACCUCAUGAAGUCGGAGUCGCUAGUAAUCGCAGAUCAGCAACGCUGCGGUGAAUACGUUCCCGGG
rnacentral:rRNA from 1 species